CCUACGGGAGGCAGCAGUGAGGAAUAUUGGUCAAUGGGCGGGAGCCUGAACCAGCCAAGCCGCGUGAGGGAAGAAGGUACAGCGUAUCGUAAACCUCUUUUGUCAGGGAACAAAGGCGGGGACUAGUCCCCGGAUGAGGGUACCUGAAGAAAAAGCAUCGGCUAACUCCGUGACAGCAGCAGCGGUAAUACGGAGGAUGGGAGCGUUAUCGGGAUGUAUUGGGUUUAAAGGGUGCGCAGGCGGCCUGUUAAGUCAGCGGUAAAAGCCCGGGGCUCAACCCCGGCGAGCCGUUGAAACUGGCGGGCUGGAGUUGGAGAGAGGUACGCGGAAUGCGCGGUGUAGCGGUGAAAUGCUUAGAUAGCGCGCAGAACCCCGAUUGCGAAGGCAGCGUACCGGCUCCACACUGACGCUGAGGCACGAAAGCGUGGGUAUCGAACAGGAUUAGAUACCCCAGUAGUC
rnacentral:rRNA from 1 species